rnacentral:rRNA from 1 species
UCUGCGGCCUAUCAGGUAGUAGUGGGUGUAGCGUACCUACUAGCCUAUGACGGGUACGGGUUGUGAGAGCAAGAGCCCGGAGAUGGAUUCUGAGACACGAAUCCAGGCCCUACGGGGUGCAGCAGGCGCGAAAACUUUACAAUGCUGGCAACAGCGAUAAGGGAACCUCGAGUGCCAGGUUACAAAUCUGGCUGUCGAGAUGCCUAAAAAGCAUUUCAUAGCAAGGGCCGGGCAAGACCGGUGCCAGCCGCCGCGGUAACACCGGCGGCUCGAGUGGUAACCGUUAUUAUUGGGUCUAAAGGGUCUGUAGCCGGCCGGAUAAGUCUCUUGAGAAAUCUGGCAGCUUAACUGUCAGGCUUUCAGGAGAUACUGUCUGGCUCGAGGCCGGGAGAGGUGAGAGGUACUUCAGGGGUAGGGGUGAAAUCUUGUAAUCCUUGAAGGACCACCAGUGGCGAAGGCGUCUCACCAGAACGGACCUGACGGCAAGGGACGAAAGCUAGGGGCACGAACCGGAUUAGAUACCCGGGUAGUCCUAGCCGUAAACGAUACUCGCUAGGUGUCGGCCACGGUGCGACCGUUGUCGGUGCCGUAGGGAAGCCGUGAAGCGAGC